CUUUCACCUGCUGCCAGAGAAGUCUCCAGAAGCAGGCCUGUGAUCAUGUCACCCUGCCCGCCUGCAGUGGCUCUCGAUGCACCUGAACGGGUCCCAGCCUCCAUGCUGUCCCUCCAGCUUUGCCUUUGUGUACCUGGCAUCACCAGGCAACGGCAUGAUUCUGCCCCUCCCCAGGCGGUGCCUACAGUCACCCCUUUUUGGCCUUACCAGCUCUUGCCCCAGUCCACACAAGCCUUGUCUACCCACGGAGUCCAGGCCCCUGCUCAUGGGGGCUUGCCUUGGAGGAGCAAGACAGGGUGGCAUCUCGAGGGUCAGUCUCAACAGCAUCCCUGGGAGGCUGAGACUUGGCUCAAGCAGGGAGGUGGGCACCCACAUUCCCUGAGAGUGUCCCUGAAGGAGUGUGGGGGCUCUCGCUCCCAGAUCCCUAUGCUCCUGAGCCCUGGGAGGUCAGUCCUGCCUGCCCCGCCCGGCACAGUACCUUGCCUGUCAGGAGAGAAAUUCAGCACUGAAGUUCCUGUGGAGACUGGAGCCUCAGCAUCUCCGCCCGUAAGAAGGAUGGAAGUUGCAGUUACCUCACAGAACUGUGACAGGAUCUCACCGUCGCCUCGGCUGGAGUGCAGGGGUACGAUCUCAGCUUCCUGCAACCUCCACCUCCCAGGUUCAAAUGAUUCUCAUGCCUCGGCCUCCCAAAUAGCUGGGACUACAGACAUGGGAUCUUGCCAUGAUGUUCAGGCUAGUCUCAAACUCCUAGGCUCAAAUUCUCUGCCCUCCUCAGCCUCCCAAAGUGCUGGGAUUGCAGAGGUGAGCCUGUAAUCUGCGCCUG
rnacentral:lncRNA from 1 species